GCGCUGAUUGGCUGCGGCGGUGUUCUCUAAAGGCGGUGCGCGCGCAGAGCGGGAAUCGGUGAUGGCGGCGGGUCCUGCCUUUGUCUGUUCCUGUCCUUGAGCCCAGGCCCUGAGGUGAGGCUGAGAAGUGGCGCGGAGGUGAGCCCAGAGCUGUCCCUGAGGUGAGGCUGAGAAUAAGUGCAAGGCAGAGGUGCUGCUGAGGAAGGAGAGCCCUGUGGUGGGGAAGAAACAAAGCUGUGAGUGCCCAUCCCCGAGCAGGUGCUGUGUCCAUCCCCUGUGUGCCAGGAUUUGUCCUUCCCAAAGCUUGGGCGGAUGGAGGAGGAGGCUGCGAGG